ensembl:lncRNA
AUGAGGUUCAUUUAAAAGCAAAAGUCUUAUUCUACAUUUUUAAUAAAGGUGCUGUUAAUGAGCAGGCCUUCAAUCAACACCAUCAGCAGCAAGUGUACUCCUCUCUUCUUGCUGGUGAUCAUUGUGGCUAUGAGAUAAUCAGAAGGUCUGAAAACUCUGAAAAUGGGCAACGUGGUGACGCAGAGGAGAGCUCUGACUACAAUAAUGUCAAUCUGUCAGGGUGCUGGGUUUAAGUUUAUACAGUUUAAGCAGGAGUUUAGUUCUUUCUAUGUUUCUGAGUUUUCUUGUAUUUCCAGUUUAUGGUUUGUUGUCUGUGAGGUUCCACUUGUGUGUUUGUCUCAUCCCUGUGUCGCUUGUGAGAGUCUGUCGUGUCAUCCAUGUCUCUGCUCACUCGCCCUCCGUGUGUCUUAGUUGUGUCAGUGUGUUUUGUCUUCUCCUUGUGUUUCGUCUUUUGUCUCUCUGUUUGUUUAUCCCUGUUUCUGCAUCAAGCUCGUGCGUGUACUUCCUGUUUUAGUGUGACAGUAUUUCAUCAUGUGUUCAGUGUGUUUGGUUUGGCUUCCCUGUCUCGUUAUAUUCAAUUCAUCAGAGCUGUUUUCCAAUGUGUUUCCACUUCACUGAUCAUCUCUCAAUCCUUCCAAGGUGUUUCAAGGUAUUCCCAGUGUUCCACAUUUUCUGUUAGUUUAAGUUUUAGCUCUCCCAGCUUAGUUUUUUUUUCUUUCUUUAUUUUUGGUUAACCUGAUUUGGUUCAUGUUUGUUGGCCAUGAAAAACGUUUUUUUGUUAAAAUUUUGAUUUUGCCUCUCGUUGUCUGCAUUUGGAUCCUUACAAAGAGCCACAGAGUCUGCAGCCACAGAUUGUGACAAAAUCCAAAUUCAGCCACAGCUCUAAAGUCUUAACAGCAGCUCUUUAGCUGUUUUUUCUCUUUAAAGUCUCUUAAAUACUUGAAGUCACUUUGAGUGAAAAGGAGAAGGUUUUGAAUUCAAAGCAAUGAUCCUGAUGCCUGAGUUUAUAUUUCCUUCAGAAAGAAUCGUUUAGUGUGUUUCACUUGUUUCUCUCCC